CAUAAUGCAAAAAAAAAAGGUAUGUAUUAAAAAAUAUAAACCCACAGUGCAAAAUGUUUAAUUAAAGUGUAAAUAACACAUGCAUUGAUAUCAAUAGGAGACUAAGUGAACAUUGCACCAGAGUGGAAGUUAGGAUUCGCACCAUGCUGACCUUUGUUCAUGCUUGAUGCAGCGAUGCCAUAACCACAUGAAAUGUGCAACUUCUAUUUGCUCUUUUGAGUUUAUAGAGCCAAAUAAAAGAGGGAUGCGUCUCUGGGAAAUAGUAAGUUCACCGGGUUCAAUCUCUUUAAAUCUCUUGCCAUGUUGAAGUGACCCAGAGAGCCAUUCUGCCCCACUGUCCUCUCCAACAGUGCAGGCUGGGAGAAGGACCAAAAACGGUCGUUUUACACCAAUGAUAGUCACUUCCUGCCAAAAUUCACAGGGACAGAGUUCAAAGUGAUCAGCACACAAAUAUAUUUUAGGCCUCCAUUUUCAGAGCCCAUUUAAUGUGUCUGUAGCCUGGAGGAUCGCUGAGUUGGAGUUGAAUCUCACCUGUAGCUUCUACACAGAUUGGACUGAUAUGACACAGCAUCCCAAGAAACUUGCUAGCUGGUUGUAGAUCACAAAAUAGUUUCCAAGGAGUUCCAAAAAUGUGUUUCAAGCUCUGUCCUCCCUUCUGGUUUUAGGGAAUUCAUAUUGAAUCAAGCCAAUUGUAUUCCUCAUUGCACAUACUGUAUCUGGGAUGAGUUCUUGUAACAACAGAAGACAGGAUUUACUGUAGUGAUGACACCAUACAUCUAGCAUAACAUAUGACCAAAACAAUAACAUACUAUAAUGUGUCUACACAUUUGAAUGUCUUGCAGCCUAUUAUUUAGGGGUCAUGCAAAUUAGUUUAUGUGUGUAGAUGGGGCAUUCUGUAACUGUCAGUUUAGCAGAAGUGAGUCACUGUGUACAUUUGAAAAUAUUCAAAUCAAUCUGGUCUUAAUGGCCAUGUACUAUCCCACCUGGCACAGCCAGAAGAGGACUGGUCACCCCUCAGAUCUCUAGGUUUCUUCCUAGGUUUCUGCCUUUCUAGGAAGCUUUUCCUAGCCACCGUGCUUCUACAAAUGCAUUGCUUUCUGUUUGGGGUUUUAGGCUGUGUUUCUUUAUAGCACUCUGACAUCUGCCGAUGUAAAAAGGGCUUAAGAAAUAAAUGUGAUUGAUUGAUUGACUAUGUUCAACCAAAUUAACGAAUCUCUGUAUUUCAUGGGAAAUGAUCGUCAUGGACUGGUUAUGAAACGUGUACGCUAAUAAUCGGGAAACAAGUACAGGGAGUGAUUUUUUAAAAUAAAGGAAGAGAGAACAAAACAAGAAACACAAGUAGAGUACAAACAGAAACAGAGUCAAUAAUGCCUGAGGAAAGAACCAAGGGGAGUGACAGAUAUAAGGGAGGUAAUCAGGAAGGUGAUGGAGUCCAGAAAUCAUCACCGUAUGAUGCAUUUAGCAUUAUAUGUGUCACGGCUGGCUGAAGGACUGGACCAAGGUGCAGCAUGUUUAUUUACAGCUUGUAGCAACAUAACCAAGGGGGAGGAGAAUGGACCUGCCAAGAAAAGAAAAGACCCUUCAAAGUGGAAAGGAGAGGUUCGGAAGAGGAAGUGGAUUCAGGGUAAAUCAAACCUUGGCAGGAAAAAGAUGAUUGAGUUGACUAUGCCAAUUGAUAUCUGCACUGUUUGAUUAUUUAUUACUUAAAUUAAAUUCUUACCUUAAUACCUACCUUCACGUUUAAUUCCAUUCUGAAAGGUGUCUGAUUUGCAUACCAGUAACAUGAUUGAUAGUGAAAUGUUGAUAUUUAUUGUUGUUUGACUGUUGUAACACUUAACUGAUCCUCCUUGAUAUUUCAUUCUGAGUUUUAAAAAAAUGAAACGUCCCACUAGGGAUAAAUCUUUUAAUGCAUUCAUCACAUGUACUUGAAAUAAUAUUGUGAAAUUAAUUUAAAAUGGUGAAAUUAUUUGAAACGUCUUUUAUACCAUUUGACCUUUUUAUGAAACUGAGCACAUUGAUAGAUAUUAAGUCAACUUUGAAUAAGACCAUAAUUGAAAGUGUACAGCCUAUGGACUGUUUGAUAUCAGUCUUCAUUGGAGUCUGCCUACUGCUGGAGGACAUCUGCAAGAUGGUGCUGGCAGGCUUAAAUAAUAAAUUCAUGUAAAAUCAAGUAGUUGUUAUUUUUGUUUGCUGUCACGGUUUACCAUAAGGUGUAAAAAAUUACCUAACUAAAUGUGUAACUUGUACUUAAGUAGUUUUCUGGCCAGAUACUUUUUCACUGCGAAUCUCAUUGUAUUUGAAAAUCACUGUUUUUAAAAUACUUUUGAUGAUGUCAUCGAGUAGAACCUUUUUACUUUAUAGUAUUUUCUAUAAAACUUAGAAAUGCCCUGUUUUUACAUAUGUAUACACUGCAGAUAAUGAAAAUGAGGUUGAAAAAUAGUGGAAUUGCCCUUUAAGUAUAAAAAAAAAUGCAAACCA